CGUUAGUUCAGUGGUAGAACACUAGCUUCCCAAGCUAGUUAUACGGGUUCGAUUCCCGCACGG
rnacentral:tRNA from 1 species